rfam:Ictidomys tridecemlineatus contig054098, whole genome shotgun sequence.
GGGUUUGUGGCUCAGGGGUAGAGUGCUUGCCUCGCACAUGCAAGACCCUGGGUUCGAUUCUCAGCACCG